rnacentral:rRNA from 1 species
UCGAGCGAACGGACGAGAAGCUUGCUUCUCUGAUGUUAGCGGCGGACGGGUGAGUAACACGUGGAUAACCUACCUAUAAGACUGGGAUAACUUCGGGAAACCGGAGCUAAUACCGGAUAAUAUUUUGAACCGCAUGGUUCAAAAGUGAAAGACGGUCUUGCUGUCACUUAUAGAUGGAUCCGCGCUGCAUUAGCUAGUUGGUAAGGUAACGGCUUACCAAGGCAACGAUGCAUAGCCGACCUGAGAGGGUGAUCGGCCACACUGGAACUGAGACACGGUCCAGACUCCUACGGGAGGCAGCAGUAGGGAAUCUUCCGCAAUGGGCGAAAGCCUGACGGAGCAACGCCGCGUGAGUGAUGAAGGUCUUCGGAUCGUAAAACUCUGUUAUUAGGGAAGAACAUAUGUGUAAGUAACUGUGCACAUCUUGACGGUACCUAAUCAGAAAGCCACGGCUAACUACGUGCCAGCAGCCGCGGUAAUACGUAGGUGGCAAGCGUUAUCCGGAAUUAUUGGGCGUAAAGCGCGCGUAGGCGGCUUUUUAAGUCUGAUGUGAAAGCCCACGGCUCAACCGUGGAGGGUCAUUGGAAACUGGAAAACUUGAGUGCAGAAGAGGAAAGUGGAAUUCCAUGUGUAGCGGUGAAAUGCGCAGAGAUAUGGAGGAACACCAGUGGCGAAGGCGACUUUCUGGUCUGUAACUGACGCUGAUGUGCGAAAGCGUG